rnacentral:rRNA from 1 species
AUUGAACGCUGGCGGCAGGCCUAACACAUGCAAGUCGAGCGGAUGAAGAGAGCUUGCUCUCUGAUUUAGCGGCGGACGGGUGAGUAAUGCCUAGGAAUCUGCCUGGUAGUGGGGGAUAACGUUCCGAAAGGAACGCUAAUACCGCAUACGUCCUACGGGAGAAAGCAGGGGACCUUCGGGCCUUGCGCUAUCAGAUGAGCCUAGGUCGGAUUAGCUAGUUGGUGAGGUAAUGGCUCACCAAGGCGACGAUCCGUAACUGGUCUGAGAGGAUGAUCAGUCACACUGGAACUGAGACACGGUCCAGACUCCUACGGGAGGCAGCAGUGGGGAAUAUUGGACAAUGGGCGAAAGCCUGAUCCAGCCAUGCCGCGUGUGUGAAGAAGGUCUUCGGAUUGUAAAGCACUUUAAGUUGGGAGGAAGGGCAGUAAGUUAAUACCUUGCUGUUUUGACGUUACCGACAGAAUAAGCACCGGCUAACUCUGUGCCAGCAGCCGCGGUAAUAC